AAGAAAGAGAGCCAUUAGUCUGUUCUUAGAAUCUUGUUGAAAAUAUAAUUUAUUAUUUUCUUCUUUAUUUAUUCAUUCACAAUUUAUUGGCCGGUGAUUUUCAAUCAAUUUCCAGCUGGUAAUUAAGUCAAUACUCUUCUUAGUAUCCUACGAUAGUUACCGCGUACGUUCAUUGUUACGCUAAACGAAAGACGGUUGAGAAUAAAAUGGUACUCGGCUCAGAGUUGUAAGGCCGGAUCCGCUUGAAAAGGAAACGCUGAAAAGGGUGAGCUUAGAAAAGGCUGUUAUGCUCUGCUUUAUCUUGCCCAGGAUGAUCCCAAAAAAUCGAUUCAACGGUUAUUUCUUCGAAUCGCACCCUUGUACAACUGCGUUGCUCGCAAUCCCGUUGGACUUGUUUUUUUUCUUAGUAAAGUGUACUUUACGGUCAGUGUUAUCUAUCUCAAACCAGACGUCAAUCGGAAAUAUUGGUCAUAGUGUUAAUAUUUCAUCGAUAGUGUUGCCCAAGUAAUUGCAUGCAGAUUAAUUUCCUUGGUGCAUGAUCUAUUGAUCUUGAUCAAAUGGAAUAUAUUAGUGAAUGCAUUGGAUAACGAUUACGAUCAAUAACUAUCCUACGGUCUAAGACACUUUAUCGUCAAAUUCCUCCGCAGUUCCUUAGGAAACAGAAUCCAUCAAGUUAAUUAUUUCAAAUUGAUUGAGUUUAAUCUACUUCCUAAUAUUCCACACAAAUCCAAAAUUUUCUACUCAAUGAUGUAUUCAAUGGAAAACACAAUGUAUGGUUGGAUACUAAUUACAUUUUCUCUAAUACGCUUGAGCAGGCAUCAUGAUUAGAGCUAAAAAAAAAUAUUCAAUCAUUGGUGGCUUGAUGAAAUUGUUAAAAAUAGUUACCAUCGGUUACCGGUGUUUGAUGGGCGAUUUUACGAGUCCAUGAAUGGAUGAUGCGUAUCGUAUUUUUGAAGGUGAAACGGCGCGUGAAAGGAGUAGAAUAAUAGUUUGGCAAUCGUUCAAGUAUUUAUAAGAAUUCAUCAAGAACAUAGAAUUCGUGAACACGUGUGCAACUCGCGACAAGAAUCGUCUAUCACGAAGCCAAUAUCUUUCCAACUUAUGUUUUAUGUUACAAGUAUGACGAAGCGGAGAAUGAUCGGGGAAAGAGAAACGAUCGGUUAAACGUUACAUCGAGCUAAAAUUAUUUUUACAAUUAAAGUUGCGAAGGAAUUAGAUUCCUGUAACUUCGAGAAAGGAAGACUCUGAUCCGUAAGAGAGCAAAUAUAUAUGAGAAGAAUUUCGAAGGUCACCUGUAACAAUAAUCCAUGGAGAAGAGUUUUAUUGAGCACUAGAGAACGAUGACGAGCGAGGCAUAACUGUCGACGAAUGAUCAUGUAAUGUGUAUAACGUAAUGUUAUAACAGUAAUAAAGUGCGUGUGCACUGGUAGUAUAUCUGUAAUAGGUGUUGGCCAUUUUAACAUCAUGGCCAUCCAGAUACUUCCAGACGUCCGUAGGAUUAUUCUUAUUCAUUGUUUCCAUCCGUUAUAGAGACUUGAGAUGCUCGACAUGUUUCUGCAAUUAUAUAAUAUACUAUAUAAUUCAUUAAUGCGAGUCAUCACAGGAAUGUUAUUGAUCAGACGUCAGAUGGUUACCAAGGAAAGUUUCACAAUCACAGAAUUAUAUUACUCUAAGACUCUGUUUGACAUAAAACGCUUCUAAAUAUUUUUAAUAUCCCAAAUCUUCCGUAUAGCAUAUCUGAUUCAGGUAAACAUCGUUGGAAUAGGUCAUCUUGGAUUAUUACUGCGAAAUAUAUCAUGAUCUUAUUUGCAUUACAUUCCAACAUAUUUUGAUACGAUUCACUAUACAGUUUAUUUUCUAGGCAACUAUCCAAGGUAAACGAAAUAAUCUUUCACGAGCCACCAGCGAACUAGAUAUUAUUGGCGUGCUCGUUAUUUCAACGACGUCGACAUGCCCAGUGAUCAGUAAUUUUUUUCGUUUCAUCGUCCAUUGAUCCCAGCUCGAAACGAGACUAAUAGUACAUAGCCGCUUUGACGAAUAUCGCAGAAGACUAUUUUUACUUUGACCCUUGAAAAUUUCUUCAAAGUACUAGUUUAAAUAUCAAAGACUAAGAACAAUUUCCAAAGUAUAACCGAACGCAGUCUUACGUGAUACUCAUUUCAAAUUGCAAUAUUGAAACGUUAAUCAAAGGGAGAAAUAAUGAUUGGGAAGAAUCAAAUGUGUCUCAGGUAACCGGACGUUACAUUGACAUGCAGACAACUAGACCAAGAAGAGGGUCAGAAUUACAGAUUUAUGCUAAUUGGCUUACAUCGGAUUACCUUUGAUUUUAAGCAGUCAAAACCGUGAAAUCGUUGGUCAGUGAUUUUCACUAGGGCAACGAUUCGUACUGAACUGAAAGUAAUACGCUGGAAUUGUGCUUCCGGAGUUUUCAAGCUGCUGAGCUUUUCAAAUGUCUUCCAAGUAUCGACCGGAGGCUGGCAGACCUGUUCGAGUUCGCGUCGAUUUUAUUCUUUAUCGUAGUUUUUGAUUCUACGGCCAGGAGAAGAGCGCUGAACAUAUCUCCCACAUUCCCAGUGGAUGCUAAUUUAGGUCGUGGUGUCACACAUCCCGAAAAGUGAAGCGAAGGUUUCGCAGUAAACUGUUAGCGCGAGCGUUACGAAAAAUUAGCACAAUGACGACGCAGGGAACAUGUGAUAAAGAGUUUCAUGACAUUCGAUUCGCAAUUGUUAUUCCCAUGGAUGAUGAACGGUACGUCCAAACGUGAUUAGAAAAGAAGAAAGCAAAACUGGGACGUUGGAUGCCUUCGGGUAGCAUCGUUUUCACUUACAAUUCAACUCAUUUCGCACUCAAUUAGCGAUCACGAGUAUUAACUCUCUGUAUGGAAGUUCUUCGCAGAUGGUUAUGUUCUAAAUUAUCUUUAAUCUACUGUGAACAUAUCAGGAGAUCUCUCGGGUUUUUUUUCUCAGUGUCUUAUAAAACUUAAAGCUAUAUGUAGCUUUAUACAGUAUUAUUAUUUUAUCCUUGAAGGAAGUUGAUUAUCGAAACGUUCGUUUCUCCGUCAUGUAACAAAAAUACUAGUCGAGAAUUACCAACCAGUUAGCUGGUGAUAAUACGAUAAACGAGCACGUCUGCAAACAUUGGACGUGUUAACUCUCCGAUUGGAUCAUUACCGCUUCGAAGCCCAAAGCGGGAGAAAUGUUUCGACGCUUCCAGAGAUUUUUACGCUCCAUCGGGGAACGCAGACCGUUUAAUUAAAUUGAGCGAUGUUUCGUGGGAGACUACGCAAUCCACGGGAAAUAUUCAAUGAACUCCAAUGUCGAGACAGCUCGGUGGCCCUGAUUAACAGCAAACGAAUAAAGAAAUCUUAGUAGUUAAUUUCAUUUCUUCGGAAUCGAAUGGUGUUCCAAUUUAGAAUUCGUCCCAGGAGAACGUGUUCUGAUAAACGAAAUUUUCAACGAAAUGGAAUAAAAUCUUAGUGACUGUAAUAGAAUAUUUAUCAUUUGGAUGACGUACAUAAUGAAACUUAAUUGCUAUUCCCUGAAAUGUAUUUCUAUCGGACAUUGUAUUAACUUAAAGUUGACAGAAGGUUCAACGAAGUUGAAAUCAACGUACCUAUUAAUCAAGAUAACUUAAUGAAAGAGUAGGAAAUUGAAGUACUUGGUACGUAAGGGAGUCUACAUAGUACCCAAAACACAUUUUCUGGGGAGCAGUAGGUCACCUAUUCUAGUCAGCAUGCUGUCGGUCAGAUGAAAUCGUAAAUCGACGGUUACCAUAACGACCAACGGUUCUCCCUUUAUUUUCCUACCCCAAUGUCAUACUAUUCUGGCUAGAUCCCCCGGCCCCUCUGUUCUCUGCGAUUACAAACUCAGUUCCUCCAUUCAAAACCCCCGGCGUUCUAUUUCUUUUUUCAGAGUUUUCUAUCCUGCCUACUGCUCCUGGCAAUUCAGCAAUAGAUUUCAUUUCAACCGACUGACGAGGAGAACGUACCAACGUCGAAUGAACUGGUAAUAAUAUUUCAAUCCAUAUUCGUAACCGAUUUCAUCCCCGAAAAUCCAUUUUCAACCCUCGAUUACAGGAACAAGAUGAAAGGUAUGGUAGUUUAUUUGAAAUAAUGAACUUUCAAAGAGAAUCAUUGACGGCUGUAAUAAACGCAGUAAUUUCUUUUCUAUUUAUUUCAAAAGCAUUGUUUUUAAGCUUUCUAUAUAUAAAAGAAAUAAUUGCUGAAUGUAUUAAAAGCGUCAGGUGUUUAACUUAAGAUAAUACGAUUAUUAUACGUCCAUAUUGUCUUAUUUUAUAAGCAGAGAAUCACUCACAAAAUUAUGGCACUCUUCCAGGAAUAUCGCCCGAAAGUCGCCGACACAAAAUUGCGCAUGAAUAUCGAGAAUUCUGGAUAUCAAACAAGAUAGAAACAAGAACGCAGAAAAAUCCUCUCAUAGCCUUGCUUUGCGCGAGUGCAUUUUAAAGGAGGUCGCUCUACCAUGAUAUAGUGUAUUUUCGCUGCAACAGUCGUUGCGGCGUCGUUGCUGUAUAAGGGAACAGCUUGGUGCUUUUACGCAAUAAGCAGAAACACGAAUGUGUUGUUUCUUGGCGAGAUAAUACGUGUGUUGUUGGUUGCAAGAAAAAAUUUCUUCGAUUAAAAACAUCAACAUGGUCACGUAGAAAAAUGGUCUGGUGAUCAAGGUAGCCAAGACCUUGAAGACUAAAGCUGACUAGUUUGCUUCAAAGAAACCAUCUGUCUUGAAUGUAAUGGUUCACGUCAUAUCACAACGAUGCUCUAUCUUGCGCAACAUCCUUCAUUUUAAACCUACAAAGCUACAUCGAGUAAAUUCUAACAUCUCCUCCUCCUUAUUUCAUUUUCAUCGUUGACUUAUUUGGAAAUCGUAUCAACAGGUUUUGAUAAGGAUCCAAGAGUUUAUUAACCGUAUGAAAAAUCCAGUGAUUUCAUACGAGAAACUUUCAUUUUUAUUAUCAUACACAUCGUUGCGCUAUAAAGAUGUGGCUGAUGAAACAUCGUGUUUAUUGAAAUUAAUAACGAGGCAAUUGAAAGUGUGUCGCGACUUUGUUUCGACGUGAAAGGAGGGAACGAUUGUCUGCUUCUUGUCGUGUCGUGCUGAUCCAUGAAUAGAGGCUUUCCCAUGGAGAAAAUCUAUUAUUUUCAUAAGUACGCCCUCUCAGAACGCGCGAAGAAACGGAUUACGUAAUGUAUUUUCAUUUUACGUAACGCCAUUACAAAACUGUAAGCAAUGAGUCAUCUUCCAGUCAAAGUCAGAGAUCAGUCUGAUCUAGUUUCUCCUGUCGAGUAUAUAUCGCAAAGGAGCAAAGUACGAUCUCUUGUAAAUCUAAACUCUAGUAAUGUUCAUCAGUACUUAAGUAAAAUGACUAAUUUAAUUUAUAGGUUUAUGUCCUUGUCUUGUCUUUUCUAUUGUUUCAAACGAUCCUUUCUAUGAAUCCUUAUUGUUGAAAUACUUUCUUUGGUAUCUCUGUACUCCUUUCUCAUUCCUGCAACUCCUUUUCAAGUAUUCUUACUAUUUCUUUAUUACUGGAAUUCCUGUUUUUAUAUCUUGCAUUUUUAUAUUGCUGAAGCUCCUUUUCCUUGAUCGUUAAUAGUUUAUUUCUUAUUCGCAUUAUUUAUUAUGAUAUUCCACUGGUAUUUAAUUAUUAUUUCAUACUGCUUUUUUUGUUACUACAAUUUCUCAUUUCCUGCAACGGUUCUCUUGUUACUAGAAAAUCCUCCUAAGAAUUUCUCCCAUCGAAGUCUUCUACGAUUCUUUCCUCUUUGGCUCAUUAUGCAAAUUUUAAGUUUCAAUUUCGUCGUGGUGGAAUACAUAUAUAUCAAGAAGGCACCGCCAAACACUGCACUCGGAAAGAGUUGCGAAUCAGAACAGAGCUUCCAGAAAUGUCCACAUCCCUCAAAUGAUCGUCAUUUACAAAUAUUAAGAAAGCAACUCCUAUUGAUCGUAACAAAGAAGCUCCAUUUCUUUACAUGGUACGCUAUCUUUUUUAUUCUUAAUAGAAUAGCAAAUGUUCAGACAAUUUUAAUGAUCUCCAAUACAGAGUAAUUCAAAGUGUACAAUAAGGAACCGAAAUCUUAAUUAGAACUGCAUAAAGUGUAACUCAGCCUUGAUUCAAUCGCUAUUCAAAAACAUAGAAGGAUAUGUUGCGAAUCGACCCUGAGUAUCAUGAUAUCAAUCGGUGCCGCCACAUAAUGCUUUAAUUUAGGACCAUGCUAUACAGUAGAAGCUUUUGCACCUAGCAUUCGUACUCAUUACAUCACUCUAGACGUGAAAUUCAAUAAUUUUAAGUCAAUGGUUCUUUCAUCAGGUGAAAACACAGAAUAUCUCCUGAUUUAUUCGUAAUGUAUCAUUAGUCGGGAAUACAAUAGUAAUGAAUAGAAAACAUUUAAUGUUAUUGGACAAGGUGAAUGAUCAUGAAUAUUGCAAAUUAAUUACUUUGAAAAUUGUCAUGUGUGAAAAUAAGCUGGAAAUAUUGAUUCCUCUGAUAUUCGUAGAAGAAUCGUAGCAUUCGGAAAAGGAAACUUCGGAGGAUAUAUUAUUAUUCACAUCCUAUUCAUAAUAUAAACUUCUGGGAAUUCUUCGGCAAAGGCUGUAAUGAUAGUCAUCAACAGUAUUUUUUCAAUAGAUAUAUUAAAAUGAAUUUUUAAAUUCAUAAACAUGAAAUCUAAAAAAUUGUAAAUAAUCAGUAAAGAAGUCAUGACUGUCGACUCUGUCGAUAAUAAACAAUACAGUAAACUCUUCCAAUUGAAUAAUUUUAGUCCACUUCGUAGAAGGAAUUUAGUCAUUAGAUGUUUCAGUGUCAUAACAUAUGCUUAAAGGAUUAGGACAUGACCGAGGUCCGAACGUUCGAGGCCGCAAAACGAGAGUAGGUCAUUGGCAAAAUGACUCGCCAGUUCAAGAUACCAAGAUCAACGAAUUAAAUGGUCAACGGUUAAAUAAAGGAUAUAAUAGCAUAGACAAUUUCUUUAGGAAAGUAUUAAUGAAUAAAAUAAAAUGGAAUAAAAUAUUGACGAUGGCGAAAUUUAUGACAAAUUAAUUCAUUAUUUAUCUCGUGGCUAUAUCUUCUACGCAUUCAAAGGUAAAGAAACAAUAUUAGACGAAAUGAGAACUCUCUCAAUAAAUGAUUUCUAAGAUAGGGUUUCCAAAGCUUUAUCCUCGAUCAAAGUCAUGCCUACAACACAAAUAUUUUACAUCGCUUUUCCACAUGGGUAGGUGUUUAUAAAAUAAAUUGAUCUUAAUCCUUGAGAAGUUAUGAUGUAAAAAGCUAGAAAAUUAUAAUUUGAUUACUCCAUCAAGUUCAAUUAUAAAUAAUCAGAUAGAAUUUAAGCAAUUUAUGCAGAGUGUUUUAAUUGUAUGAAAACGCUUGUUAGAACAAUCUUACACUGUUUUG
rnacentral:lncRNA from 11 species